UGAAAUGUGGCCCCUCGACCCCUUCCUCCCACUGCUCCAGGCCUCCAGCAGGAGUCUUCGCCGCCGGCGAGCAAUUCCCCUCCACCGCCGCGCAUUCCUCCCUCCCCUCUCUUUCCGCCAUAUCAAUUGCUCCCUCGCCUUCGUCAAAUAGCGUUACAGCAGACGAUGCGCCAUCCAGGGGAGCCUCAGCUUCUCUGAAGAAGAAAGGGACACUGAGGCGAUGCGUUAAUUGCGGCGGCUGCCUCUCAGGCCGAGACUUCAAGAACCCCCCAUCUCAGUGCUGCGCCUUCCUCUCCUCCUGAUGUGAAUGAUUUCCGAUUUGCGUAUGCUUUGCUUCGGUUCUUGAUUAGCCGCUACGUCGCCGCAUCUGCUGUCCUGCCAAGCGUGGCAAAAUGGAUUUCUUCUGAUGGGCAAGCGGUUGGUCAAGGUUGCAGAUACUCUCAUGGUGUCUCUUGUCACAGUCUCACUGAUGACGCUGGUGAUCCUCCAUGAUAUCACAUUUUUUCCUGAGGGCCUGAAUAGCAGAAUGGGCAAGCUUCAAGUCAAGAAUCCAAAGGAGCAUGGAUGAUCAUUGAUUUGAGCCGGAGCAUGAUCGUUGGCAACUUGGCGUGACGAAGCUAGAGUGUGAUGAUGGGAGUUGUAAUCUCUAAUGGUCUCCUCGUGAACUGGUGUUAGAAUGCUAAUGUUUAGUGGUUUCCUUUAAACUGGCUUUUAGUAUGCUGCUAUGCUCGAAUUAAAACUCUGUUUCACCUAUUGAGCUUGUCAGUUUCUUAUGUGCCAGUGCUUGAGGUGGCAUUGCACCUGCAUGUGUUGCGACGAUCCGGAGGCACAGUUGGGAGUUCUUUUUUUCUAGUUAAAUGGACAAAGUAUUAAUGUCUGCAAUUUUAAUUUA